rnacentral:lncRNA from 1 species
CGGGGUGAUGCCAGUGGUCUGACGGAGAUGUGAAACUGACCUCUGCUCGGCUCUGUUGGUGCUGUGGCGGCCCAGAUCCCUCCUUCACAACACCAGGCACCUCUUCUUAAUUUUAGCACUUUUUCCAUGUUCUGCAGCGAUGCUCAUGCACCUCGGGGAGGACAGCAUGCACGCGGGGUGCAGAUGGGCUCUGGACCAUCGGGUGGGGGACAUCUGAAGCAAGAGCUGACUGCUGGCAUUGUGCUGAGCCAGAAUUCAGCUAACCAGGCUCCCGGUGGGAUUCGUCACCGUCGCUUUCCAGCAGCAGGGAUCAGUACAAAUAGCACGGUCACAACACUGAGGCUGGUGCCUGGCGGUACCUGCACAGACGCCUUCGGUGGCUUCCAGCAUCCAAAGCAGCCGCCAGCCUGGCCAAUGUGCCCCGCGGUUCUGUGAGCUGGGCUGCAGGAGGACGGUAAGUGUGUAAACCCAUCAGAGCAAGGUUUCCAAAGGACUCCAAAGAGAUUAAUUCCCCCAAACCCCUCUGACUGCAAAUGGAAGCCUUGUGCCAGCUUCCUUUCAGCUG